GUGAAAUCUUGAUGGGAAGCCUUACAAGGCGCAGCCCUUUUCUCUCACUUGGUUUGACAAUUUUAGCCACUGGCUGUAAGAAGCUCCCACGGGCAGAUAUUACUACCCAGAUUCCCGAGGUGAGGAAGCUGAGCCAGGGGAGGGGAGGGGCUGCAGGGGAGCGCCGCGCUGGGGCUGCCCUUAAUCUGCAGAGAUAAGCAGCGCUUUGGGGCAGGGCAGAAAUAGCGCCUGGUGACCCAGGGCUGCCCGGAGCCCCGGGCCGCUCUCCGCAGCAUCUCUUCCAGGCAAAGGCUUGGACUGUGCCCCAUGCCGGAGCGCUCUCCCGCUGCUGGGAAUUAAUGGCUUCCGCGCAGGAGGAAUGAUACUUUCCUCAUCAGUGCUGCAGAUGGAGCUCCAAGCAACAGCCAAGGCAGGGGACUUCCACCUCCUCUAACCGGAGGCAGAUGAAGCGGGUGCCCUGCACGCAGAGGGUUCGGCAGCGAUUUCCCCAGUCCCUGCGCCAUCGGCCGCGCCGCCAGCUCCCGGCAAUGUCAGCAGCCAUCCAGCUGGUGAGAGCAAUGGUGAGCCCAGGCUGUGCUGCAGGGCUGGAGGUCCUUGUCAGGCUCUUUGGGAAUUCCCGCCCUCCACAUGCCGGAUGCCUUCCUUUGGAUGGGCUUUGCUGGGGUUCCUGGGAGAAGCAGCCUCAAGGAGCGCCUGCUGCCCCCAAAGCACGAGGGGAAGACAAGGCAGCUCCGAGGCAGAGCCGUGCGUGUGAACGCAGUGCUGUCCGUGAGUCUGGCUGGCACCUCCCUUGUCCCCUGCACCAUCCCCACCCUGCCUCAGCUGUGGCAGAGCUGAAAGCAGGGGGUGGCAGCGUCUCACACACGGUGCUCCAAAAACCCUCGGAAAGGACCCGGCAUUUCAAAACAAAAUGCUACCACAGCAUUCUCAUUACGGUUCCACGAUAUCUGUAUCACAAAACCUGGCAAUUUUAAUGACAAAGUACUGCGAUGCCACCAAGUAUUUUUUUAGAACUAAUAAAACCUCUGCAGAAUAUUUCCCUGGAAUGUAU
rnacentral:lncRNA from 1 species